AAAAGUGAGUUAGAUUCAUUUUAAAAUGCUCAAUAUAAAAUGCUGUGUUAUUCACUAAGAAACAACAAUGAAGGCUUCCUGUAGAGGGAGGGCUGACAGAGAAUCAGAAACUUACUGAGGAAAUGAAACUUAUGAAAACAACAGAUGUUCACAGAUCAGAUGAGGGCGGGAACAGUGUACCAGUAUAAAUUACACACAGACCCACUGAUCUGUCCUUUCCAGAGCCUUCUGCUGCCAGAUCAACAAGAUUUUAUGGCGUUUCCUCUGUGGGAGAUGCUGUGGAAACUUGACUGGUCUUGUAGCACUAAUGUCAUCAUGAAGGAGGCGGAGUUUAUGUAAAUCCUUGCUGCCAGGGGUGAGGUCAUCUGGCCCAGUGCCAUUCAGAGGGGAAACCCAUUUGUUGGUGCUGUUGUCCAGAUGCGCAGAGGCCAGCGCAGUCUGCGAAGCCUAACACCGCGUGACGCCUGACAACCUAUGCGUAAAGCCUCAAGUCUAUGAAAAAUGCCGACAAAAAGCCAAGAACCGACCAUAAAAAACCAAUGCAUGUGAUGCUAACUAGUGAACCAAGAAAUCUCUUUAACACAUUGCUGACUCCUGAAUAAUGCUACAAAUGUUGACUCCUGAAUAAUGCUACGAAUGUAAAGUGAAGAAGUUAAAUUUUGGUGAAACCUUUGGUUUCUGCAUUGCUUGGUUGGUUGGUCUGGGGCCCAACUGAUAAAACAAAAAGCCCCAGAAAAAAAGUACAAAAAAAAUAAAAUUCUAAAUAAAAAUAGUAAAAUCUGCAACAGAAAUUCAUA
ensembl:lncRNA